UUUUUGGGUAUAAGAAUGACAAGUUUCGUUGUGACCAGCGGAGGGAUCAUUAAAGAGAGAGUUGAAAAACUCCCUAAACCCACUGUUAACCUUACCUUGGAGGUUGUCUUCGGCAGGCCGUCCCAGGGCGGGAUGCUUGGCCUGUAAUGGCGCCUGCCGGAGGACACGCAAACUCUGUUUAUAGUUGGCUGUCUGAGUGAAAACAAAUAAAUCAAAACUUUCAACAACGGAUCUCUUGGUUCUGGCAUCGAUGAAGAACGCAGCGAAAUGCGAUAAGUAAUGUGAAUUGCAGAAUUCCAGUGAAUCAUCGAAUCUUUGAACGCCACAUUGCGCCUGCCAGCACUCUGGCAGGCAUGCCUGUUCGAGCGUCAUUUCAACCCUCAAGCGCGCCUAUUGUGCUUGGUGUUGGGGCAUCUACAGCUCUGUAGGCCCCGAAACAUAGUGGCGGGCUCGCCAUGACUCCGAGCGUAGUAAGAUUUUCAUCGCUUAGGGUGUCGUGGUGGGUUUCCAGCCGUAAAACCCCCAAUUUCUAAAGGUUGACCUCGGAUCAGGUAGGAAUACCCGCUGAACUUAAGCAUAUCAAUAAGCGGAGGAAAAGAAACCAACAGGGAUUGCCCUAGUAACGGCGAGUGAAGCGGCAACAGCUCAAAUUUGAAAUCAGGCCUCGUGCCCGAGUUGUAAUUUGUAGAGGAUGCUUUUGGUGCGGUGCCUUCUGAGUUCCCUGGAACGGGACGCCAGAGAGGGUGAGAGCCCCGUAUAGUUGGACACCUAGCCUCUGUAAAGCUCCUUCGACGAGUCGAGUAGUUUGGGGAAUGCUGCUCUAAAUGGGAGGUAAAUUUCUUCUAAAGCUAAAUACCGGCCAGAGACCGAUAGCGCACAAGUAGAGUGAUCGAAAGAUGAAAAAGCACUUUGAAAAGAGGGUUAAACAGCACGUGAAAUUGUUGAAAGGGAAGCGCUUGUGACCAGACUUGCGCCCUGUGAAUCAUCCGGCGUUCUCGCCGGUGCACUUCACUGGGGUUCAGGCCAGCAUCGGUUCGCUUAGGGGGAUAAGAACGGAGGGAACGUAGCUCCCCCUACGGGGAGUGUUAUAGCCCACCCGUAGCGAUGCCCCUCGGUGACCGAAGUCCGCGCUCGAAGGAUGCUGGGAUCAUUGUCCCACCACCUUUUAAAACGAAAAAA
rnacentral:rRNA from 1 species